rnacentral:rRNA from 1 species
AAUAGAUACCCGGGUAGUCCACGCCGUAAACGAUGAGUGCUAAGUGUUAGAGGGUUUCCGCCCUUUAGUGCUGAAGUUAACGCAUUAAGCACUCCGCCUGGGGAGUACGGCCGCAAGGCUGAAACUCAAAGGAAUUGACGGGGGCCCGCACAAGCGGUGGAGCAUGUGGUUUAAUUCGAAGCAACGCGAAGAACCUUACCAGGUCUUGACAUCCUCUGACAACCCUAGAGAUAGGGCUUCUCCUUCGGGAGCAGAGUGACAGGUGGUGCAUGGUUGUCGUCAGCUCGUGUCGUGAGAUGUUGGGUUAAGUCCCGCAACGAGCGCAACCCUUGAUCUUAGUUGCCAUCAUUAAGUUGGGCACUCUAAGGUGACUGCCGGUGACAAACCGGAGGAAGGUGGGGAUGACGUCAAAUCAUCAUGCCCCCUUAUGACCUGGGGCUACACACGUGCUACAAUGGACGGUACAAAGAGCUGCAAGACCGCGAGGUGGAGCUAAUCUCAUAAAAACCGUUCUCAGUUCGGAUUGUAGG